rnacentral:rRNA from 1 species
AUGCAGCUGAUGUUUGCUUUGUUACCUCUGUAUGUGUGGCGAUGCAGAGAGAUGGCGUGGCCAUGGAUCUGGAGGGCGCUCCAAAAGGCCGGCCGGGCGAUCCAGCGGAAUCCCGACAGCGUGUGGGAUGCCUACAACUGGGCCAAGAACCUGCUCGGGGCAGGCAUGCCUGCGGCGGCCGGGCUGAACCCUGCGCCGGCGGCCAGGGUGAUCCCCGUGGAGCCCGAGGCCGAGAUGGAAGAUGAUGGGGCGUGGAUCCUGUGGCUCGCCGGAGGCGCCCUGCUGAUAGUCGCGGGGGUGGCCUUCGCUGUCUAUCUGGGCGGGGGCGGCGGCGGCGGCGGAGGAAACGGUGGAGACAACGGCGGCGGCGGCAACGGCAAGUGA